CCUACGGGAGGCUGCAGUCGAGAAUCAUUCACAAUGGGGGAAACCCUGAUGGUGCGACGCCGCGUGGGGGAAUGAAGGUCUUCGGAUUGUAAACCCCUGUCAUGUGGGAGCAAAUUAAAAAGAUAGUACCACAAGAGGAAGAGACGGCUAACUCUGUGCCAGCAGCCGCGGUAAUACAGAGGUCUCAAGCGUUGUUCGGAAUCACUGGGAGUAAAGCGUGCGUAGGCUGUUUCGUAAGUCGUGUGUGAAAGGCGCGGGCUCAACCCGCGGACGGCACAUGAUACUGCGAGACUAGAGUAAUGGAGGGGGAACCGGAAUUCUCGGUGUAGCAGUGAAAUGCGUAGAUAGCGAGAGGAACACUCGUGGCGAAGGCGGGUUCCUGGACAUUAACUGACGCUGAGGCACGAAGGCCAGGGGAGCGAGAGGGAUUAGAUACCCGGGUAGUC
rnacentral:rRNA from 1 species